GAGCAAUGAAGAUGGGAGGAAUUAUGUAUUCACAGAGUUGCUAGCUUGGACUUGUUCUGAUGGAAAUAGCAGGAGUCCCAACUACAAGAGUUGCAAUGUCAAGGCCUCAUCUUAUAACUGGCACAUAGGUCACUUCCACCAUAUUCUUUUUGCUAACGAAAGUCACAAAGUCAGUCCAUGUUCAAGUAGAGGGGAAACUGACUCCACCACUUGAUGUGAAGAGUUGGAAUAUCAUAGUUAUUGUUUCUUGUGACUUGCCAUAGCGUAUUUUCUCACACUAACAACUCUGUAUUUCUUCCCAAAUUCUGAAAAAUUCUUUUGUUGGCUCUUCCUGUACUUGAUUCAUUACAUUAAGUUUUCCAUUUAAAUGUUAUUUCCUUGGAAAGACUUUAUCAUUUGUCAAGUAGGUGUAUUCUCUUCAUCAGUUACUCUAUUUUCUCAUUACAAUAUGAACUUUGUAAAAAUGGGAACUUUACUUUGUUUAUGCCAGUAGUUUAUAUACAUUUUCUGUUACGUGAAAAGUACAAAAUGUUUUUUUCAUGGUUAAAGAAAUAAAAGAAUAAAUAUGUAAUCACUGCA
rnacentral:lncRNA from 10 species